UCAUUGGAGAGUUUGAUCCUGGCUCAGGACGAACGCUGGCGGCGUGCUUAACACAUGCAAGUCGAACGGAAAGGCCCUGCUUUUGUGGGGUGCUCGAGUGGCGAACGGGUGAGUAACACGUGAGUAACCUGCCCUUGACUUUGGGAUAACUUCAGGAAACUGGGGCUAAUACCGGAUAGGAGCUCCUGCUGCAUGGUGGGGGUUGGAAAGUUUCGGCGGUUGGGGAUGGACUCGCGGCUUAUCAGCUUGUUGGUGGGGUAGUGGCUUACCAAGGCUUUGACGGGUAGCCGGCCUGAGAGGGUGACCGGCCACAUUGGGACUGAGAUACGGCCCAGACUCCUACGGGAGGCAGCAGUGGGGAAUAUUGCACAAUGGGCGGAAGCCUGAUGCAGCAACGCCGCGUGCGGGAUGACGGCCUUCGGGUUGUAAACCGCUUUCGCCUGUGACGAAGCGUGAGUGACGGUAAUGGGUAAAGAAGCACCGGCUAACUACGUGCCAGCAGCCGCGGUGAUACGUAGGGUGCGAGCGUUGUCCGGAUUUAUUGGGCGUAAAGGGCUCGUAGGUGGUUGAUCGCGUCGGAAGUGUAAUCUUGGGGCUUAACCCUGAGCGUGCUUUCGAUACGGGUUGACUUGAGGAAGGUAGGGGAGAAUGGAAUUCCUGGUGGAGCGGUGGAAUGCGCAGAUAUCAGGAGGAACACCAGUGGCGAAGGCGGUUCUCUGGGCCUUUCCUGACGCUGAGGAGCGAAAGCGUGGGGAGCGAACAGGCUUAGAUACCCUGGUAGUCCACGCUGUAAACGGUGGGUACUAGGUGUGGGGUCCAUUCCACGGGUUCCGCGCCGUAGCUAACGCUUUAAGUACCCGCCUGGGGAGUACGGCCGCAAGGCUAAAACUCAAAGGAAUUGACGGGGCCCCGCACAAGCGGCGGAGCAUGCGGAUUAAUUCGAUGCAACGCGUAGAACCUUACCUGGGUUUGACAUGGAUCGGGAGUGCUCAGAGAUGGGUGUGCCUCUUUUGGGGUCGGUUCACAGGUGUGCAUGGCUGUCGUCAGCUCGUGUCGUGAGAUGUUGGGUUAAGUCCCGCAACGAGCGCAACCCUUGUUCACUGUUGCCAGCACGUUAUGGUGGGGACUCAGUGGAGACCGCCGGGGUCAACUCGGAGGAAGGUGGGGAUGACGUCAAGUCAUCAUGCCCCUUAUGUCCAGGGCUUCACGCAUGCUACAAUGGCUGGUACAGAGAGUGGCGAGCCUGUGAGGGUGAGCGAAUCUCGGAAAGCCGGUCUCAGUUCGGAUUGGGGUCUGCAACUCGACCUCAUGAAGUCGGAGUCGCUAGUAAUCGCAGAUCAGCAACGCUGCGGUGAAUACGUUCCCGGGGCUUGUACACACCGCCCGUCAAGUCAUGAAAGUUGGUAACACCCGAAGCCGGUGGCCUAACCGUUGUGGGGGAGCCGUCGAAGGUGGGACUGGUGAUUAGACUAAGUCGUAACAAGGUAGCCGUACCGGAAGGUGCGGCUGGAUCACCUCCUUU
rfam:Propionibacterium acnes JCM 18920 DNA, contig: contig00017.